rnacentral:rRNA from 1 species
UACGGAAGGCAGCAGUGGGGAAUAUUGCACAAUGGGCGCAAGCCUGAUGCAGCCAUGCCGCGUGUAUGAAGAAGGCCUUCGGGUUGUAAAGUACUUUCAGCGGGGAGGAAGGCGAUGCGGUUAAUAACCGCGUCGAUUGACGUUACCCGCAGAAGAAGCACCGGCUAACUCCGUGCCAGCAGCCGCGGUAAUACGGAGGGUGCAAGCGUUAAUCGGAAUUACUGGGCGUAAAGCGCACGCAGGCGGUCUGUUAAGUCAGAUGUGAAAUCCCCGGGCUUAACCUGGGAACUGCAUUUUGAACUGGCAGGCUUGAGUCUUGUAGAGGGGGUAGAAUUCCAGGUGUAGCGGUGAAAUGCGUAGAGAUCUGGAGGAAUACCGGUGGCGAAGGCGGCCCCUGGGACAAAGCUGACGCUCAGGUGCGAAAGCGUGGGGAGCGAAACAGGGAUUAGGAUACC